rnacentral:tRNA from 1 species
GGGGACAUCGUCUAAUGGUAGGGUGUCCGGCUCCAGACCGGAAGAUGGGGGUUCGAUUCCUCCUGUCCCCA